CCAAUAGCGUAUAUUAAAGUUGUUGCAGUUAAAAAGCUCGUAGUUGAAUUUCGGGAUCAAUAUAUCGGUCGUGCCAUUGGUACGUACUGGUAUCAUUAGUUUCUCCUUUCUGACGAACCAUGAUGUCAUUAAUUUGGUGUUAUGGGAAGUUAGGACUGUUACUUUGAAAAAAUUAGAGUGUUUAAAGCAGGCUUUAGCUUGAAUACAUUAGCAUGGAAUAAUGAAAUAGGACGUUCGAACCUAUUUUGUUGGUUUCUAGGAUCAACGUAAUGAUUAAUAGGGAUAGUUGGGGGCAUUAGUAUUCAAUUGUCAGAGGUGAAAUUCUUGGAUUUAUUGAAGACUAACUACUGCGAAAGCAUUUGCCAAGGAUGUUUUCAUUAAUCAAGAACGAAAGUUAGGGGAUCGAAGACGAUCAGAUACCGUCGUAGUCUUAACCGUAAACUAUGCCGACUAGGGAUCGGAUGAUGUUAAUUUUUUAAUGACUCAUUCGGCGCCUUACG
rnacentral:misc_RNA from 1 species